CUGAAGAGCCCUGAUGUCAUUAUGAUUCAACCUUGUUUUUUCAGAGUUACCAGUUGUCUUGAAAGCACCAUAAAUCCAGAGAAUGCAAGACUUUGAUGUCAAAAUGUGCCCACGAAGGACCACCACACCACCUUCCUGUUCAAGUGAACACAGCACAACAAGGUUUGGUCUACCUGAAGCAGCAUCUUUAUACAAUGACAGAGGAUCAGACAGAGCAACAGAGGCAGCAUUCAUCUGAUGAAGAUGAUUUCUUCUCAACACUGAUAUCCAAAAGGUCACAAGGUUAUAUCAGCUGUUUUGGUGAACCCUUCCCGCAUCUGAACUGGCUGACACAGAGGGCAUAACCUGAUCAUAGGUAUGUUUUGAUGUGACAGAGGAAGCCAGUCCCGUCAUCGACACCUUACCCGCUCUUAAGAUCACGUUUGGGCCAACUGGGGGCCCAAGGCUGGUUUGGAGACACCGCAAUUGUGAUGAACUGAGAGAAUAUUAGGGUAGCACUGUAAUUCAUGAAUCACAUGCUGUCUGCCACUGUUCUUACCUCUUUCCCCUCUGUCUUCUACACCUCUCUCCCUACCUCGUCUUUCUUCCUCAUUUUAUAAUGCAC
rnacentral:lncRNA from 1 species